CCAAUUUUAACUUUAAAUAAUCUUCAUCAAAUCCAAUAUUUCAAUAUUAUAAAAACUAUAAAUCUAUGGAACAAUCUUUCUUGUCUAACCCGAAAUCAGAGAAAAAUGCUAAUAUAUAUAAUAUAGCAUUGCCACUAUUAGGUAUUUCACUGUCUAUUAGUUUUUCUCUGAUUUAGGGUUAGACCAGUAAAGUUGUUAAAUUGUUAAAUUUAUGUAUUUUAAAUUUAUUUAUUUACAUAGUUUAGUUAAGACUAUGCAAAAUUUAAUAAUUGUAAAUUUGUUUACACUUUCAAUAUUGUGUGUUGCUUCUCUUAAAUGAGAUAAAAACCCAAGGAUGCAAAAAACUUAAUAUAAAAUAGUGUGAAGAAGAAGUAGUAACUGAAAUGAACAGCAUAAUAGAAUUUGAUAAGUUUGACUCAGCACUUGACAAUGUUUCAUCUAGUAACUCUGUAGUAUCUCUGCAGUUAAACAAAGAGUUCAAAAUAUUGGUGGUAAGAACUGUCAAAAACUUGUGAUAGCUAUGAUGAAGAGUUUUAUAACAAAUUCACUCAUGGCCAAAUCUAAUAUGGCAGCUGGAAAAGGCAAAGAAUCUUUUUAGUCUAACCAAGCUAUACAACUUAAUAAAAGUUUGUGCAUCGACUUCUCACGAAUCAUACACAGAGUCGAUUGUCGAUGCAAUAAUUGCUGAUUCGUGAAAACGGGCAACUUUUGCUUGUCUUAAAGUGCCUUAAUUCCAUCGUUAUAAUAUUACUUUGUUUGUAAAUUGUUUUAAAAAAUAAAUUUAAAAAUAACUUUUAA